rnacentral:misc_RNA from 1 species
UUUUAACCUUGUAUUUCUUGGUUUUGAAGAAGUGAUAGUGGUAUUGUUGUGGCUUAAGAGGAAAUGUGGAUGUUUGAGUUGAAAUAACCCUUCUUUUGCAUAAAAUAAACUUUUUCCCCUCUUUUAAUUAAAAUUUCCUAAACUCUUUUUAUAAUAUGUAUAUUAUGGUAAUGGAAAUGCUGGUAAGUGAAGAAAUGGGGAAAGCCCCAAAAUAUGAUAAAA